rnacentral:rRNA from 1 species
UCAGGCCUAACACAUGCAAGUCGAGCGGCAGCGGGAAAGUAGCUUGCUACUUUUGCCGGCGAGAGGCGGACGGGUGAGUAAUGCCUGGGAAAUUGCCCAGUCGAGGGGGAUAACAGUUGGAAACGACUACUAAUACCGCAUACGCCCUACGGGGGAAAGCAGGGGACCUUCGGGCCUUGCGCGAUUGGAUAUGCCCAGGUGGGAUUAGCUAGUUGGUGAGGUAAUGGCUCACCAAGGCGACGAUCCCUAGCUGGUCUGAGAGGAUGAUCAGCCACACUGGAACUGAGACACGGUCCAGACUCCUACGGGAGGCAGCAGUGGGGAAUAUUGCACAAUGGGGGAAACCCUGAUGCAGUCAAGCCGCGUGUGUGAAGAAGGCCUUCGGG